rnacentral:rRNA from 1 species
AUUGAACGCUGGCGGCAUGCCUUACACAUGCAAGUCGAACGGUAACAGGUCUUCGGAUGCUGACGAGUGGCGAACAGGUGAGUAAUACAUCGGAACGUGCCCGAUCGUGGGGGAUAACGAGGCGAAAGCUUUGCUAAUACCGCAUACGAUCUACGGAUGAAAGCGGGGGAUCUUCGGACCUCGUGCGGACGGAGCGGCCGAUGGCAGAUUAGGUAGUUGGUGGGAUAAAAGCUUACCAAGCCGACGAUCUGUAGCUGGUCUGAGAGGAUGAUCAGCCACACUGGGACUGAGACACGGCCCAGACUCCUACGGGAGGCAGCAGUGGGGAAUUUUGGACAAUGGCGAAAACCUGAUCCAGCCAUGCCGCGUGCAGGAUGAAGGCCUUCGGGUUGUAAACUGCUUUUGUACGGAACGAAAAGCCUCUUUCUAAUAAAGAGGGGUCAUGACGGUACCGUAAGAAUAAGCACCGGCUAACUACGUGCCAGCCGCCGCCGUAA